AAACUGAGGUUAUUUGUUUUUACAGCAGUUUAAUUAUGCUAAUGAAUGGAAGGUAGGACAUCAUUAACUUUGUACUAUGUGACAUGUUCUUAUCAACAGUGUGUUAGCACCAGUGACAACAUGGUCAAGACAUUAUUCCCUAUGCUGAAGGCUGCUGUGAAGAAAGAUAAUCCAGUAGUUGCCGUCAAAUUCCUGGCAAAAGCCAAUCAGUGGAUCUAUGAUAUCAUCAAAGAAGUUGAAAAAAUAGUAGAAGACUACAAGAAACUCAACAAUGGGGUGGCGACUGUCACCAGCGAUGUUAUUUCCACCAAAGUAGAAACAGAGGACAAGAAGAAACAGCUGACCAAGGAAGAGAAGAUCCUGCAGAAUGCUGUUGACGACUACAAUAGGAAGCUAAGUGUCAUCCAGUCAGAUCUGAAUGAGGUCAAUAGAAAAAUCAACAAUGCUGAUAGUGAGCUUCGUGAGUUGGUUAACGGCAUUGCCAGCAGAAACAAGAAGUUUGGCAUAGUGGCUGCCGUCGUUCCCUUCCUAGGAUUAAUCAUAAAUGCUAUCCAGAAGGGGGUCAAUAACCCUGGAGAUAGUGCAGCCAUUGAGUUGGCCAAGAACAAGAUGAAUCAGCUUCAGAAGGACAAGACCCUUUUGACUAAGAGCGAGUGGGAGGCCCAAACGGAGGUGAUGAAAUACCAGAUGGAGCUGACCAGAGCCAAAUUUGACCUGGGUUCUGUUCCUGAUCCUGUCCAUCUGGCUGAGGUUCAAACCUGCUUGACCCGGAUCCAGAAAAUUCUGCUGCAACUCAAAAGCUUCUGGGAGAAGAUCGGAGUGAUGGUGACCAACCUGCAGCAGAAGACCUUCGCUGGGGAAGACCUGAUUGAUGUUCUCUCAGAUUUUAAGGAGGAGUUCUUGGAUUCCUUGCAAGUAGCUGAAGAGGCUUGGAAGACGUUUAGUGGGAGUUGCCAGAACGUCAUGGGCAUGUUUAGUGUCCAGUCGAAGAAUGCUUACAAGUUCCUGGAGACCAGCCCAUCAUCUCUCACCCAGGAAGAGUGGAAGGAAAUGUAUGAUGCUGUGGCAGCCAAACUGGAUUCCUUCUACCCUGCCCUCGAGGCCAAGCAGGCCUUUGAGGAUCAGCAGGCCAUUGAGGACCAGCGGGCUGCAGAAAGUAACUAA
rnacentral:lncRNA from 13 species